rnacentral:lncRNA from 1 species
GCAGACCACAAUGCACCGCGCACAGCGUCGGUUGCCCGGGCGAUGCGCGGCACGCGUGCGGAGGCCCACACACCCUGAAGGCGGAGCCCCGGGUCGAGUGGCUGGCUCCCGGACCACCCAGCAGUCUGGAAGGAGACUCUCUGAGACCAGACUCCCGACCGACUGGCUCCUCCCACCUCCACACCUCCAGCCUGGUAUCAAGGCUGCUUUACAAUCAUCCUAUUCAGAGACACACAAUAAACAUUUGUAUGGUAAAGGAAACUGAUGCUGACUUCUGCAGAAAGAUUUACAAAUGUAUUCUAACCCAGCGGGGUUCUCAGUUACCUUAAGCAUUGCACCCUAAAUUAUGUGUGUCUCUUAAGUAACCAUCAUUACCCCACCUCCACCCUGCAACUGUGUAGUGCCUUAGGGCAUCAGGCUAUCUCCCCAGUCUCCUCUGGAGUCUUCCUUUGUGUCUGUUUUCUUUCUCUCUGGAAAGCCUUUUCCCUCUCCCCUCAUUUCCUGCCUGACACCAUCUGGUUGUUCUGGUCUCCAUUUAGAAGCCACGCCCUCUGAGAAGUCUUUCCCUGACAGCUGCCUGCAGCCCUGAGGCGGAAGACCUGCAGACCCUGUGUUUCUUGUAAUCACUACCUGCUCCAGUUGACUUUCUAAUGUACUGCAUGUGAGUUCGGAGCGGCCAGCUGUUUAGCAAAGGAGCCACUUCUCGGUGUUACCUCCCUUUGAAAUGUUGGAUUACCCAUGACGACUAUACAGAGCUCAGAACACUUCAGCCAUUGGGAAGUUCUAGGCUGGGGAUGCAGGGAUGCAGUUCACUCUGUAGGGGGCUUGCCGAGCAGGUGCAAAACGUGGGGUUCAAUCCCUAGCCCCUCAUAACCCAGGCGUGGUGACACACACCUGCAAUCCCAGCCCUUGGGAGGUGGAGACUCCAGGAUCAGGGGGUUCAAAUUCAACCUCAAGUAUCUAUGGAGUUGGAGGCCAGCCUGAGUUACAAGAGGACCUGUACAGCUAUAACGGAGUCAAUGAGGUGGCUCAGCAAGUAAAGGCUCUGGAGGCCCCUGCUGCGUAGGCAUGGGGCUAUAAAUUCAAUCCUUAGAACCCACAAAAAGGCGGAGGGAGGGAGACAAGAGACUGCAUAAAGCUGUCCUCUGAACGCCACGUGUGUUUAUUUUAAAUAAUUAAAAUAAUUUAAAAUAAAUAAGGCUGGGCGCAGCGGCAGCACACAGGCUUUUAACCUCAGUACUCCGGGAGGCUGAUGUAUCCUGUAGGUGAAGCCACAGCUAUUUAUUGUCUGUAUCUGAUCUGUCUAAUGAGUUCCAGGCCAGCCAGAGUUACAUAGUAAGUCUCUGUCUAAUAAGUAAAUGAAAGAUGCCUGGGAAGAUGGGGGGGAAGGGUUAAGGGGGGAGGAAAGGUGACAGAAGGGGGGGGGGGAAACACCUUUAAUCACAACAUUUGGGAGGCAGAGGCAGAUGGAUCUUUGUGAGUUUAAGGCCAGCCUGGUCUGUAGAAUGAGUUCCAGGACAGCCAGGACUACACAGAGAAACUGUCUUGAAACAACUAACUAACUAACUAACUAACUAACAGGCAUGGUGACCUAUACCUUUAAUCCAGGCACUCCUGAGGCAGGAGCUGGUAGGUGAGCUACAAGCCAGGCUGGUCAACAUAUUGAAUUCCAGUCAAGGCUACAUAGUGAGGCCCUAUCUCAAAUAAACCUUAGGUAUAUUAAGGACCCUAUCUGCUUAUAACAAAUUAGCAAACACAAGGCUCAGGGCUGCUACAAACCUUGCUUUAAAUAACCUCAUACAAAACCAGGCUCUCUCCCCACCUGUUUGGCCACAUGCAAAGAAACUGCAGUUCCUUCCUUUGCUAUCCUGU